UACGAAGGGGGCUAGCGUUGCUCGGAAUCACUGGGCGUAAAGCGCACGUAGGCGGAUCUUUAAGUCAGGGGUGAAAUCCCGAGGCUCAACCUCGGAACCGCCCUUGAUACUGGGGAUCUCGAGUCCGGAAGAGGUUGGUGGAACUCCGAGUGUAGAGGUGAAAUUCGUAGAUAUUCGGAAGAACACCAGUGGCGAAGGCGGCCAACUGGUCCGGCACUGACGCUGAGGUGCGAAAGCGUGGGGAGCAAACAGG
rnacentral:rRNA from 1 species